AGAAAUAGAAAUCAAGCAUGAUUGCGUGAGAAUUGAAUUUGAAUUCUCUUAUUGCAAAUAAUUUAUUCCGAAUAAAGCCUUUAUCUUCUUACUAGAGGAUCUAAUUGUUUAAACAAGGUCUUUAAAUUUUCUGUUUUGAUCAUAUUUUAACCUGAGGUUCGUUGCCAUUAUCAAGUUUGACUAUGGAGUGCUUCUGAUUUCAGGUUG
rnacentral:misc_RNA from 1 species